ACUGGAUACAGAUACAGUAGAUGGCCCUAGUUCGUGGAGGUCAAUGUAUCAUCUUACAGAAAAGCCGGAUACAUUCUGGAGUGCCAAACGAUACAACUUCUACCAAAGAUUUGUUUAUUCUCGUGUGUCUGUAGAGAAUAGCAGCAUAAGCAAUGCACCAAAGAAUCCGGAUAUUGAGAACCAAGAGAAAUGCAGGACCAAUCUUGUCGGCUAGAAGAGCUACGUUUUCCAUGUUAUGGAGAGGAUUUGCAUCAAAUUUUGAGAAUUUGCAGUAUUACAUGUUCCGCAUAUCAAGUCCAUCCAUGAGGACAAAACCAAACACAAUAAGGUUCUUACUUUACUGAAGUUUUGCUGUGAGAAAAAUGACAAGAUACGGAAUAUACGAAAUGGAUUUAAAGAUGCACUCAUUCUUGAUGUGAAGAAUAAAAUUCCUAAGGUUAUAGAGCAAAUCACCUGAUUUUUUCCACAAUCAAUCCAGAAGAUAAGGGAUGAUACAUAUACACUCUACCAACUUUCAAUAAUUAACUGAUGUGAGAAAUCUUACAACUGUUUGGGGUACGAGGAGGCUUAUCACAAGGAUCUACAUCAUGAUGAUUCUUUCUUGGAGGACAAGGAUAAAAACCUUUUGUAGUUAGCUGCAAAGUUGGUACUUGAAAACAAACUUAAAAAGGUUACUGGUGCAGCGUUACAAAUGCAAAUGGAGCUAUAGUGGUUUAA